CCUACGGGAGGCAGCAGUGAGGAAUAUUGGUCAAUGGACGCAAGUCUGAACCAGCCAUGCCGCGUGCAGGAAGACGGUCCUAUGGAUUGUAAACUGCUUUUAUACAGGAAGAAACAACUCUACGUGUAGAGUCUUGACGGUACUGUAGGAAUAAGGAUCGGCUAACUCCGUGCCAGCAGCCGCGGUAAU
rnacentral:rRNA from 1 species